AGAAAUUUGGGAGAAUGGUGGUGGAAGGCUACAGCAGAGAGUGGCUUUGUGUUUCUGGCGUGAAUGAUGUAUAUGAGAGGUGGUGAUUUGGCUAGGGCUGAGAUAUGAGUAUAUAUAGGCACCUAAGACCCUAGGAUAAUUAGAUAUGGACUUCUAGAAUCCAAAUCCACCAAGAAAAAGGCUUAAAAAUCAGAAUCCACAAAGGAAAAGGUAUAGGAGGUGUGGCAGGUUUGAUGGGAUAAGGUUAGGGCUUCUAGAAUGCCUUGCAAGGCAAGAAAACAUGUUCUAGAAAGGGUUAUGCACGACAUGGAUUUAGGGAAUGUGGAUAGGGCUUCUAGACAGAAUAAGGUGUCCCUAAGUGUUUAGGACUCGUCUUUGGAUCUGAAAUCUUUGUACAUUAGGAUUAGGAAAGUUUGUCUUUGUCAAUCCUUCUUCAUCUUGGAUUCCUUUUCCUUCUUGGACUUGGAAAACUUCUUUGUUGCUAAAACUUGAUGCCAUUUGGAUUUAACCUUCCUACUUCAAGUAGGAAACCUUGUUUGAGUAGGAAUCUUCAUCUUCUAGGAAUCCCAAUUCCACUAGGAAACCUAUUUCAACUAUGAAUCCUCAUUCAACUAGGAUUCCAUCUUCAAUUAGGGACUUUCCUACUUCAACUAGGAAACCUUGUUCAAGUAGGAAACAUCAUCUUCAAAUCUUCAAUUUCGUCCAUCCUCUUGGCUCCAAGCAUAUGAUGUCCAUUCCAAGCUCUAAUUUGCUCCAAAAGGCUCCAAAUUGCAUCAUUUUAUGUAAUAUGCCCUUAAAACCUGAAAACACAUGAAACUAGCUUAAAAGACUACUUUAGACUAAGAAAACAUAACGAAAAUGCACAAGAACUAGCUAACUAAGGCGCAUAAAUAUGCUCUUAUCAAAUUCCCCCACACUUAGCUUUUGCUAGUCCUCGAGCAAAACAAAGAAACAAAAAAAAAAACAAAACGAAACAAAACAAACAAACAAAACCUAACCCUUCCAACGUUUGCCUCAGGGAUUUGCAAUGCACAUGACAUAUUAAAAAUCACCAUUCCCACAGAUUUUAGCCAUCUUUACACUUAAGCACAUACUUAAUCAUAGUCACUACUUACUAGUUCACAUAUAACCAUUUAAAACGAUGUUUUGAAUGUAGUAACAUGCCUUAGAGAAUUUGUUCAGUUCCUUACUAGAUAUGCACUCAAUUUUCACACAGAUUUUCUAACUACACACCCUAUACUAGUUAUAUGUGAGAAGAUUGAUGUAAAUAUGAAAACGAACGCUCACAUAUAUGUAUAACAAAGAAAGCAUUUUCUGGAGUUAAUAAGCAUUUAGAUAUGAUCUCAUGAAUGGAAUGCUACUACUUAGAUGCGAGAACCAGUGACACCAUAUGCUCAUACCAAUUUUAAACUCCACAAAUUGAAACACACAACACUCAAGAUUAAAGGCAAGGGUUGUAACGGGGCUUGGGGUCUUGGCUAACAAAGAACGGAUAGGGAUAACAAAGGUUCUUUAAACAAUAGCAAGCAAAGCAAUGAAAUCGAAACUUAGAAUUCACUUUAGAACGUAGAAAUCAACUUUUAAACACAAGGGAAGAUUCAUGCAAUACUUAGGGUCAAAUUCAACGUUUUGGACCCUUUCUUCAACUAGGAACACUUAAGAACUCAUCUCCACAUCUUGUUCAACUCUUUUUCAUAUUUUUCACAACUUUUCUUUUUUUUCUUGCUAUUUUCCACGAAAUUUCUUUUUCUUUUUCUUUUUCUAACCCGUGCCACAUGAAAGACUUUGGCAUACACACACAUCCCUUCCCCCACACUUGUUUUCUGCAAUACCAUGAUCAAAAGGAAUUCAUCUUGAGUCAUGCUUAACUAUGCUUCAAGAACAAGGGUAUGGAUGGUCCUAAUCUAGGCUAGGUGAGGAUAAUGUGGGUUAACAAACAAUAUAGGCUAAACAAGGCUCAACGGGGUUAAAACUUACAAAAAAUAUGAACAUGAAGGACACGGCAAUUUGGCUUAAAUGGUGGUCACUACACAACUUCAUCUUGAAUAUGUGUUAUGCAAAUCAAUAACAUGCUUUGAAUGAAAUGGGCAUGAGUUCUAGUGCUUGGAACUAAAUGAUGAAACGCCUUCUAAAUAGUAACCAAGCAAAGAAUAAUGAGAUCAUGCAACGACUUUAGAAAAAAACAAUGCACAGAUUAUUAACUCUCCAAAUAAACGUUUAGGCUCAAGUCUCACAAGGUUGUAGCGUUAGUUUGAGUUCCUUCCUUCAAGCAUGUUACAAAAACUAAUUUUUUUUUUCCUUUAUGAUUACAUGUGAAUUCAUAAGUUAUAACCACAACCAAGCAUAAACCAAGGAGUAAAUCAAACUUUCAUCCAUGUUUACAACUCUCUUUAACAGUCAUGCAAUUAAAAACCGAAUCCUCAUCAUUGUGUUGGAAGGUACCCUAAGACACAAACAAACACACAAAACAACUUUCAAACGACUCUUUUUGGUUUUUUCAAAACAUUUUUUCAAAUUUUUUUUCUGGGAUUUUCGGAUUUUUAUGUAAAACACACUAAAAUGAAACAGCCUAAAAACACCUAAAAACAGCAAGGAACAACAUUGGAAGUUAUGGGUGAUACAACCCUACGAAUUUGCAUCAAAACACUUUGGUUACCCCCCCCCCCCCCACACUUAAAUCAAACAUUGUCCUCAAUGUUUCAAGCAUAUACUCACACAAAAAACACAUAAACAAUCAAACAGCAAAUAAACAAACGAAACAUGGCAGAAACGAAAGAACAACAAAGAGAAGGGUUUAGGAACGCAAAUCUAGAAUCGGAGUGAUUCUUAGGUCUUCCUUUGUUGAAUGCAUGGGUUGCCUCCCAAGUAGCGCUUGCUUUAACGUCGUACAGCCGGACGAUGCUCCAUUGAAGCUUUAUGGAACCCCACGGCAGGGAGGGGUGUUUCUACCACCUGUCCUACGAACCACUUCAUGCUUUAGAUCUUUGAAUGGAAGGGGAUAAUGAUCCUUCCUGAUUUUGAUGUUUUGCUUCCCUAAAUCAGCAUGUACUCCACCACGUCGAAUUCAAUUAGCUAUUUGCACCAUACAAGGUAACAACCUAUUAGUUGAAAUGGGAAUCGAAAUUGGAAUAGGUGGCUUACCUAUGUACGGCAAAUAAGUGGCAGCACAAUGAACAGAUGCACAAGGGGUGCUUUCGGCCAGAUUUGGUGAUUUCAAGGUUGGGGCCGUGCUCCCCUUGUUGUUCACUCCAAUUCCUUCCUCGAUGGUGGUUCGAGGUACAUUCUUCUUGAUUAGUGUUGAACAUUGCUGCCCUAUAUUUUCAAUUACAUUAAUGGCACAACAAGAACGAAUAACAUUAGGAGUCUCAAUAAAUUCAGGGACUUUAAAACUAAUCAUGUCACCACCAAAUGCCAUAGUGACUUCUCCUUUGGCCACAUCAAUCUUGGUUUGAGCCAUUUUCAUGAAAGGUCGUCCAAGUAAGAGUGGUGAUGGUGGAGAGUGGCCCGAAUCCUCCAUAUCGAGCACGUAGAAAUCUGUGGGGAAAAUCAAGUGGUCUACCUGCACCAAAACAUCUUCCAAAACUUCCUUUGGAUAGGCAUUAGAUCGAUCGGCCAAUUGAAUAAUCACACCAUCAUUUUUCAACUUGCCUAAGUUCAUAGAUGCAUAAAUUGAAUAAGGCAUGACAUUUAUAGAUGCACCUAAGUCUAACAUGGCAGAAUCAAAACGAGUAUUACCAAUUACACAAGGAAUUGUAAAACUACCCAGAUCUUUGCAUUUAGGUGUCAGCUUUCUUUGUAACAUGGCAGAGACAUUCUUGCUUACAUGUACCACUUCUUUCUCCCGAAAAUGUUUCUUUGUUGUACAAAGCUUCUUCAAAAACUUGGCAUACUUCGGGAUUUGCUUUAUAGCAUCAAGAGAGGGGAUAUUGACAUGCACCUUUUCCUAAACGUCUCCAGAACAUCUUUUUCCUCCUUCUUUGGUCUUGGCUUGCAAAAACCUGCUAGGAAACGGUACAUUUGGAGGAAUAACAUUAGAAUUAAUUGGAAUUGGACCUUUCUUACCUGAUUUGGAUGGAUUGGGGUGUGGAAAGGGUGUAGGGGGUUGCGGCAAGGAUUGGUCAAUCCUUGCCGUGGCCUCGGCAUGAUCUUCCUCUUCAAUUUGCAACUUCUUAUCCUCCUUGGGGGCAGAUUUAAAUGGUUGUGGGUCAGUUCCUACUUCUUUCCCACUCCUUAGCAUGAUGGCCUUGGCAGCUUCGAAUCCUCCCCUUGGAUUGACAACGGUUGAACUUGGCAACUUGCCUUGCUCUUGGAAUUGGCCCACAAACUCCGCAAUCUGCCCUACUUGCUUCUCCAACUCGUCCACCCUCUUGUCCUUAAUUUGCAUACUCUGCGCCAUAGAAGUUAGUAAUUGAAAAUUUUGAUCAUUAUCAAUGGACGAACCUGGUUUGUUUUGGGCAGGUUGUGCUUGGGGUUGAGUUGAUGCAAACGGCUUUUAAUAGAAACCUGGAGGUUGUUGCCUAAAUGUGCUUUGUUGUUGGCCUUGUUGGGGUUCUCGCCAUUUGAAAUUUGGAUGAUCACGCCAACCGGGAUUGUAAGUAUUAGAAAAAGGGUCAUUCCUCGGUUGGUAUUGGUUGCCAAAUCCCACGGCAUUGAGGGUCUCCCACCCUCCAUUCUCUAUCAAUUGUGGGCACUUGUCCGUAAGGUGUCCUUGCAUGGAGCAUACGCCAAAAGCUGCCACGUUUUGCACUUUUGGACCUUCCACCACCUGAGAAAGCAAAGUAGUAAGGUUAGCCAUUUGAUUUUGAAGUUCGGUUAUGGCACUUACCUCAUUCACUUGGUGUUGCCGUGGGUUGCUCUUUUGUCCAACACCUUCGUAUUUUUGGGCAUUCAACGCUCGAUUGGAGAUUAAUGUCUUGGCUGCCAUGGGGGUCUUGUCCACCAAGGCUCCUCCCGCCGAGGCAUCUAGCAUUUGACGUUCGAUUGGUAGUAGCCCCUCGUAGAAGUAUUGUAGAAGAAGUUCCUCCUUCAUUUGAUGCUGUGGACAUGAAGCAACAAGAGAUUUAAAACGUUCAUAGUAAGUAGGAAAAGAUUUACCUUCAUCUUGUUGAAUUCCACUUAUCCUUUUUCGUAGGAGGAUGACUAGAGAAGUUGGGAAAAACUUCUCCAAGAAGGCCCGUUUCAUGCUGUCCCAUGAUGUGACGAUUCCAGGAGCCAAUUCAUAUAACCAAUCUUUCGCCUUUUCCAAGAGAGAAAAGGGAAAGGUCUUCAUCUUCAAAAUACUCCCAUCGACAUUGACGGGGGUCAUGCUUGAACACACCACCUCGAAUUCUUUCAAGUGUUUGUUAGGAUCUUCCAUGGACAACCCAUGGUACUUCGGAAUAUGGUGUAACAAGCUUGACUUCAAUUCAAAUUCUUCGGUUUUUCCUUGGGCAGCCGCAGGGUAUUGUAUACAUAAGGGUGCGGCAUUGUCCAAACCUGAAGCGGAAAGCUCCUUGAUUGUUCGGUUGUCCGCUGCCAUGGCUUGUUCUUCUUCACCCACUCUUGCCGUGGGUUCCUCUUCCUCAAAUUCAGAUUUGGCCUCUGAAUUUGCACUUGAUUCACUAGGCUCUGGAUUCUUCCGCUUUUGUCUCAACUCUCGGUCGAAAUCGUCGUCAAACUCCAAGAUAUGUUCACGAACCGGAUUAGAACUCCGAGUCAUAAACUAGUACCUACAACAAGAAGCAAAAACAAAGUUAGAAUCUGUAAUGAAAUAAAACAAACGAAAAUAAACAAUCCAAGGGAUUAGCAAAGUUGCUAAUCCCCCGGCAACGGCGCCAAAAUUUGAUAUGAUAUUAACUAGCACACAAAUUAAACCCUCUUUUUAUCAAUUGUAGCAAAGUAUGUAAAUAGGGAUCGUUCUAGACCGGGGAUUAGGAGGGAUUGCUAAAUCACUUGAAAACUGACUUAAAGACGUAAAAACAAGUUUAGAACACUAAACUAGACUCAAAGAAUGCAAAACUAAACUUUACAACACCAAAACAAACCAAAAGACUCAAAACAGCAAACAAACACUCAAAACUGCCUUAAAAACACUUUCUGGGCAGUUUUGAGCACAAAACACUAACUUGGGAGAAUGGUGGUGGAAGGCUGCGGCAGAGAGUGGCUUUGUGUUUCUUGCGUGAAUGAUGUAUAUGAGAGGUGGUGAUUUGGCUAAGGCUAAGAUAUGAGUAUAUAUAGGCACCUAAAACCCUAGGGUAAUCCGAUAUGGACUUCUAGAAUCCAAAUCCACCAAGAAAAAGGCUUAAAAAUCAGAAUCCACAAAGGAAAAGGUAUAUGAGGUGCGGCAGGUUUGAUGGGAUAAGGUUAGGGCUUCUAGAAUGCCUUGCAAGGCAAGAAAACAUGUUCUAGAAAGGGUUAUGCACG
rnacentral:lncRNA from 1 species